rnacentral:rRNA from 1 species
UUACGGUCAAAUCACGCUGAAACACCGGUUCUCGUACGAUCACCGAAGUUAAGCAGCGUAGAGCCAGGUCAGUACUUAGAUGGGGGACCGCUUGGGAACACCUGGUACUGUAAG